rnacentral:rRNA from 1 species
AAGUCGAGCGGCAGGGGGGAGCAAUCNUCCUGAGAGCGGCGGACUGGUGAGUAACGCGUGGGUGACNUACCUUAAGGUNGGGGAUAGCCGUUAGAAAUAGCGGGUAAUACCGAAUGUGGUUGCCGGGCAGUGGUCUGGCAAAGAAAGGGGCUCAGGCCCCGCCUUGAGAUGGGCCCGCGUCCCAUUAGGUAGUUGGCAGGGUAAGAGCCUACCAAGCCCGAGAUGGGUAGCCGGCCUGAGAGGGUGAACGGCCACACUGGGACUGAGAUACGGCCCAGACUCCUACGGGAGGCAGCAGCUAAGAAUAUUCCGCAAUGGACGGAAGUCUGACGGAGCGACGCCGCGUGAAUGAGGAAGGCCGAAAGGUUGUAAAAUUCUUUUACGGAUGAAGAAUACGGCGGGGAGGGAAUGCCCUGCUGAUGACGUUAGUCCGUGAAUAAGCCCCGGCUAAUUACGUGCCAGCAGCCGCGGUAACACGUAAGGGGCGAGCGUUGUUCGGAAUUAUUGGGCGUAAAGGGCGCGUAGGCGGUUACGUAAGUCUGAUGUGAAAGGCGGGGGCUCAACCCCCGGACUGCAUUGGAAACUGGGUAACUAGAGUCAUGGAGGGGGAGUUGGAAUUCCUGGUGUAGGGGUGAAAUCUGUAGAUAUCAGGAAGAACACCGGUGGCGAAGGCGAACUUCUAGCCAAUGACUGACGCUAGGCGCGAAAG